rnacentral:rRNA from 1 species
UACAGAGGGGGCAAGCGUUGUUCGGAAUUACUGGGCGUAAAGGGCGCGUAGGCGGCCUGUUAAGUCGAACGUGAAAUCCCCGGGCUCAACCCGGGAACUGCGUCCGAAACUGGCAGGCUAGAAUUCGGGAGAGGGAUGUGGAAUUCCAGGUGUAGCGGUGAAAUGCGUAGAUAUCUGGAGGAACAUCGGUGGCGAAGGCGACAUCCUGGACCGAUAUUGACGCUGAGGCGCGAAAGCCAGGGGAGCAAACGGG